GGGGAAUAUUGCACAAUGGGGGAAACCCUGAUGCAGCGACGCCGCGUGAGUGAAGAAGUAUUUCGGUAUGUAAGCUCUAUCAGCAGGGAAGAAAUGACGGUACCUGACUAAGAAGCCCCGGCUAACUAC
rnacentral:rRNA from 1 species